GUUGUUCGGAUUCACUGGGUUUAAAGGGUUCGUAGGCGGAUUGGUAAUUCCGACGUGAAAUCCCCAGGCUUAACCUGGGAACUGCGUCGGAUACUGGAUGGCUUGAAUUCGGGAGAGGGAUGCAGAAUUCCAGGUGUAGCGGUGAAAUGCGUAGAUAUCGUUUGGAACGCCAAUGGUGAAAACAGGUCGCUGGGGAUGCGCUGACGCUGAGACACGAAAGCCAGGGGAGCAAACGGG
rnacentral:rRNA from 1 species